CACGGGUGAGUAACACGUGACUAACCUACCCUGGAGUGGGGGAUAACUGAGGGAAACCUUAGCUAAUACCGCAUAACACCUACGGGUCAAAGGAGCAAUUCGCUUCAGGAGGGGGUCGCGGCCGAUUAGUUAGUUGGCGGGGUAACGGCCCACCAAGACGAUGAUCGGUAUCCGGCCUGAAAGGGCGCACGGACACACUGGAACCGAAACACGGUCCAGACUCCUACGGGAGGCAGCAGUGGGGAAUUUUGCGCAAUGGGGGAAACCCUGACGCAGCAACGCCGCGUGGAGGAUGAAGUACUUCGGUACGUAAACUCCUUUCGAUCGGGACGAUAAUGACGGUACCGAGAGAAGAAGCCCCGGCUAACUUCGCGCCAGCAGCCGCGGUAAUACGAGGGGGGCGAGCGUUGUUCGGAAUUAUUGGGCGUAAAGGGUGCGUAGGCGGUUUGGUAAGUCUGAUGUGAAAUCUAUGGGCUCAACUCACAGUCUGCAUCGGAAACUGCCGGGCUCGAGUGUGGGAGAGGUGAGUGGAAUUUCCGGUGUAGCGGUGAAAUGCGUAGAUAUCGGAAGGAACACCUGUGGCGAAAGCGGCUCACUGGACCAUAACUGACGCUGAUGCACGAAAGCUAGGGGAGCAAACAGGAUUAGAUACCCUGGUAGUCCUAGCCCUAAACGAUGAUUGCUUGGUGUAGCAGGUACCCAAUCCUGCCGUGCCGAAGCUAACGCGAUAAGCAAUCCGCCUGGGGAGUACGGUCGCAAGGCUGAAACUCAAGGGAAUUGACGGGGGCCCGCAC
rnacentral:rRNA from 1 species